UGCAGUCGAACGGAAUUGAGGGGCUUGCUCUUCAAUUUAGUGGCGCACGGGUGAGUAACGCGUGGAUAAUCUGCCUGACGAUCUGGGAUAACAUCUCGAAAGGGGUGCUAAUACCGGAUAAGCCCACGAGGACUUCGGUUCAUGCGGGAAAAGGGGGGGACCUUCGGGCCUUCUGUCGUUAGAUGAGUCCGCGUACCAUUAGCUAGUUGGUAGGGUAAAGGCCUACCAAGGCUACGAUGGUUAGCUGGUUUGAGAGAAUGAUCAGCCACACUGGAACUGAGACACGGUCCAGACUCCUACGGGAGGCAGCAGUGGGGAGUUUUGCGCAAUGGGCGAAAGCCUGACGCAGCAACGCCGCGUGAGUGAUGAAGGCUUUCGGGUCGUAAAGCUCUGUCGAGGGGAAAGAAGUGUAUUGUGGUUAAUACCCGCGAUACUUGACGGUACCCCUAAAGGAAGCACCGGCUAACUCCGUGCCAGCAGCCGCGGUAAUACGGGGGGUGCAAGCGUUGUUCGGAAUUAUUGGGCGUAAAGCGCGUGUAGGCGGUUUGUUAAGUCUGAUGUGAAAGCCCUGGGCUCAACCCAGGAAGUGCAUUGGAAACUGGCAGACUUGAAUACGGGAGAGGGUAGUGGAAUUCCUAGUGUAGGAGUGAAAUCCGUAGAUAUUAGGAGGAACACCGGUGGCGAAGGCGGCUACCUGGACUGAUAUUGACGCUGAGACGCGAAAGCGUGGGUAGCAAACAGGAUUAGAUACCCUGGUAGUCCACGCCGUAAACGAUGAGUACUAGGUGUUGCGGGUAUUGACCCCUGCAGUGCCGCAGCUAACGCAUUAAGUACUCCGCC
rnacentral:rRNA from 1 species